GAUAUACUCCCUCCGUUCGGAAUUACUUGUCGCGAAAAUGGAUGUAUCUAGAUGUAUUUUAGUUCUAGAUACAUCCAUUUCCGAGACAAGUAAUUUGGAACGGAGGGAGUACAUA
rnacentral:pre_miRNA from 1 species